AUUAUUAUGCCCCACCUACGAUAAUAGAGGGGCAUUAUGUUUUCUGGUCUGUGCGUCCGUCCGUCCGUUCGUUCGUCCGUCCGUCUGUCCCGCUUCAGGUUAAAGUUUUUGGUCGAGGUAGUUUUUGAUGAAGUUGAAGUCCAAUCGACUUCAAACUUGGUACACAUGUUCCCUAUGAUAUGAUCUUUCUAAUUUUAAUGCCAAAUUAGAGAUUUUACCCCAAUUUCACGGUCCACUGAACAUAGAAAAUGAUAGUGCGAGUGGGGCAUUCGUGUACUGAGGACACAUUCUUGUUUUUUGCUAU
rnacentral:lncRNA from 1 species